UACGUAGGGUCCGAGCGUUUGUCCGGAAUUAUUGGGCGUAAAGGGCUCGUAGGCGGUUCGUCACGUCGGGAGUGAAAACUCGGGGCUUAACCCCGAGCCUGCUUCCGAUACGGGCAGACUAGAGGUAGGCAGGGGAGAGCGGAACUCCUGGUGUAGCGGUGGAAUGCGCAGAUAUCAGGAAGAACACCGGUGGCGAAGGCGGCUCUCUGGGCCUUACCUGACGCUGAGGAGCGAAAGCGUGGGUAGCGAACAGG
rnacentral:rRNA from 1 species